AAAGGGACAAAGUCCACAGGAGAGCAUUGGGCUGGGACUGCGAGGGGACACCAGUCAGAAUUCACGCGAGUGGCACAAAUGGCCUUCAUCAGACUGCGAUGCACCAACGCCCAGCAGUCACUGCAGACUUGGAGCACUUCACUAAAACCAGGACAGCGUGAGCUGGCGCUGCCACCCUUGUAUUGUAAAGGAAGUGACAUCGUUACAUCAUCACAUCGAGACGAGGCAACACAAGAAAACCCCAAAGGCUUCUGAUCCAUGAAAUGACUGACUGUACGGCUUUGGGGGGAGUCAUGAUGGAGCCCACCGGGCCGUUCUGUGGACUGUCCUCAUGCGCUGCUGGGUGUUUGGCUUUCUCCUAUUGAAGAUGGUGGCGUGUGUGUGUCGUGUUUUUAGAGCUCGUUUCGCUUGUGCAGAGACUGCAGACGUGGCGAGGAUGGCACUUGUGGAGUGACAUGGACUUGGAGCGGAAGGCGGCAGUGGGCGGGCGCGGGGGUUUGUGUCGUCGUCUUUGCUUUUCUUUUCUCCACAUCACGUGCUUUGCAGUUUGACCUCAGCGUUGCUCUGCAUAGGAAAAACAAUUAUUAUACCAGGAAACUCAAAAUUGGAGUAAAAAUGAACACUGCUAUAGAAUAGUGUACGAUUAUUAACUAUAAGUACUUUGUAAUUGUAGGCUUGGAUUAUUUUAUUAUAUAGCCUAGUGUUUGUUUACUUUACUAAUAGACAAAGACAAUGAAAGGACAAAUUAAUCAAUAAUUUAUUUGUAACAGGAUUAUUUAUUUAUAAAGCAACACACCACAGAUCCUCAAGAAACAGUAACAAAAUCAUAGUGACAGAAAUUGACAGACCUUUUUUAUUUAAAAGAAAAUGCGUUUUAGAUAUUUUUGAUAAUUUUAUGAUAAUUUCUGAAUAUGAUCCAACAUACAAUAAAUGGAAUUUUACCUUAGUAUUUGACUGAGGUACUGAGCCGGUAAGUGGUCACGUGACAAAAGAACGAACGACUCCAAAGACUCGAGAGAUGAACUAAUCGAUUCUGUUUCCGGCUCAGACUGCAUAGGUUAAGCUUAUGGGGCUGUCACGUGAUGAACGAACGACUCGAAAAACCCGAAGACUCGAAACAGGUGAAUCAAUAAUUCCAAUACAGAAACUAUAGGAAGUUGCGCAAAUGCGCAUGCGCGACUGAACGAAUUCUCCCACGAGACGACUCUUUCUUCCCGAGUCACAUUAAACAUUCGUUCAAGAACGACCCAUCACUGCAACAGACGGAGCAGCUCGAGUUGGAGAGAGAAGGAGGCUCGAAAACAGCGAGUGAGUAAACUUUGGGGCUCAACUUUUAUCUUCUUGUAAUUUCACCACACAGUAGUUUUCUUUAAAAAACGAAGCUGCGCUUCUUCUGCCGUAGAAGUGCUCUGACGGGCCAUUGAAGAAGAUGUCGGCGUUCUGGGCGUGUUUGAGAUGUUUGGUUAACUUUGGUUAUUUUGAGGCAAAGCCUCGUUAGUUUUACAUCAAUUUUUGAAAAAAAAGAAAUGGCCUUGUAACGAGCCUAUCUAGGGGGGUGACAUUUACUGCGCCGCCAGUCAUGCCAAUGGGGACCCCAGCCUCCUGCUUGUCGGUCUACAAUGUCGCUGUCGGACACGCCAAAGGAGAGCCGCCAUUAAUGGAGCUGUUAACGGCCUCGCCAGCGUAAGCGAAGUAACACCAACUCCGACUCGUCUUAUAAACCGCAUCUAUACAGUUGGCUUUAAGGACGUGAAUAUUUGUAGAAAUGUUUGACAGAGUUUAGGAUGUACAGUAGGAUGGCCAGGUAAUUUACUGUACUUGUCAAGUGAGUACUAACACUGCCGGGCCUGCGUGUGAAUGUGGCGGCCGAGUGCGCGCGUGGCGGGGAUGCGAGUUUCCCGGAGUCUUACUGGCGGACAUUUUCCAGAUAUCUGAGUUACGGUUAAUAGAAAUCACGCUUCUCAAAGCUUUUCAAGGUAAUCCUCCAUUUGCAGUAAGUACGUGUCGGUGACACGAAGCUAGUCGGGCUGCUUGUCCCGCCGCACACGAAGGUAACGCCGCUGCAGUCGGACCUUAUGAUGGCGCUGAGAGGAGCUGCGCAUUCGGAGUCCUCGUUACAAGAAGUAACCGCACUUAUUCUCGCAGAACCGCAUUGUUACUCGUUUAAAAAGCUACGUUUCAUAAAGAGCACCACGUAGCGCUUCAGCGAUAAUGAAAUAGCAUUGUAACUGAGCUUGUUACGAUAAUGGCGUCGUGUUGUGUACACACAGUAUACGUUUAUGUCGGCAGCGUCUACAGAUUACAACGUUUAUAUUGGCCUGCUUGUGUUCUUGUUGGGCUUCUUACUGGCGGUGCUCUUUAUAUAUCAGUAGAGUGACAUUGGAUUAAAGAGUAGGGGGUCCACACUGAGGAUUACCUUUUAGGUUUCACUGCUAAUGCUAAAAAGAAAUGACGGUCCGGUUAAACGUCCAUCCUGGAAGAAUGGCGUAAAAUCUUAGGAUCACCGCAACGUUUUAUAAUUUAAACCUGUGAAUAUUUCAUACACACACUGGUUUUGCUGCAAAAACUUGAAAUCUGCUGUUUUACUGUCUAAUGGAAAAGUUAGCUGAUAAUGGUGUGUAACAUCUUAUAGAUAAAGAAGAACCUGAGGAGGAAUGAAGAAAAGUCAUCAGGGGAAAAAAUAAAAACUGAAAAGAAUGUCUCCAAAUUCAAAAAAAAAAAAAAAAGUGAGAAUCUGAAGUUCAGUCCACUGUAGUGUUUUGGUAAGAUGGCUCUUAAAUGAAUGAAGCUCUUAAUGUUCAAUGCAGGCACCCGCAAAAGACAACGUGCUGGAAAGGGACACGCAAUGGGAGUGUUGUGCAGCGUGGUUCACUCUUUUGGACAGCAGUAGCAAAGAAUUGCACAGCGUAGAAAUCAGCUGGAUUGGUGUGCUUUGCCUGUGAAAACUACUUUUGCUGCAUAAUGGAAUAGUUGCCUGCUAAUGGAUUUAUAACAUCUGAUAAAGAAGAACCUGGGGAGGGAGGGGAGGGGAGGAUGGACGGAGAGUCGUCUUUGAAGAAAAAUAAAAACUGAAAAGAAUGUCUCCAAAUUCAAAAAAAAAAAAACGUGAGUAUCUGAAGUUCAGUCCACUGUAGUGUUUUGGUAAGAUGGCUCUUAAAUGAAUGAAGCUCUUAAUGUUCAAUGCAGGCACCCGCAAAAGACAAUUUCGUAGAACUGCACGCGCAAGAAGACAACGUGCUAGAAAGGCAAGGGAAGCAAGACACCGUAUUGAAAUGUCACAUGCAAUGGGAGUGUUCGGCAAAAUGGUUUGUUCUCUUUUGGACAACAAUAUUAAUCAAUCACAGAUGAACAUGGGGUUCAGUUUUUAUUGGCCGAACAUGGACAGCGAUAUUUGCGACUGGGUAUGUGAUUGCCUUAUUUCUGUGCUUUGAUAUACUCAUUAAAACUGUAUACACAUUAACAGCUAAUCUCUUAAAGGUCAAGAAAUGUAAGGCUGGUGUGAUGAGAAGCCUACAAAGGACAGGUGAUAUUUACUGGAUUCUUGGUUUACCAGUUUGACCAGUUGGUCAUUUGUUCAGCCAGUUCAUAUUGUUGGCCGUUCUGUUGCUUACUGGUUGGUUGUCAGAUAUGUAUUUAACUGCCCUUCUCCAUACUUUGGGACAAACAACAAUUCCAGCUCUGUGGUUUUACUAACAACGGUUCUUUAACAUCUUUGCAUGGCUGCUGUUUGACGAGUUCCUUUUCCAUUCACUUAACUCUACUGUCCUGUUCUUUUGUUUCCGCUGAGAAUUAACAUUAAACCUUUCAAAUUCUUUUUUUUGUGACAUCACAACUAGACGCUACACUUUCUAACUCUCAUCUUUUUCCUCCCUUAUUUAAAAGAAAUCCGUGUUGUGGAGUCCACCAUCCACGAGCAGGAACUGGAUAGUCUUAAAGGGAAGAAUGGCUGGAUGAUGCAGUAAGAGACUACGCUGUGUAAACCAAAUCAGAAAUGGAAAUCUAGGAUUGUUUUGUCAUUUUUUUCCUCUACAAUGCAGGUCAUUAAUGGCUAUCUGCACUCUUUAAUUAAAAACCAGCAGGCAAGUGGGAAUUACGUUUAUAUUUUUGGUAGAUGUGUCUUGCAUUGCAAGCUACUUAUUUACAAGGCCAAGGGUACGAAAGUAACAUGGAUCAGACAAGUGGAAUGAAUGAGGAAGAACUAGUGAAAGACAGGCAGGAGAAGAUUAAACCGGUUAUUUACUUGUCACAAACUAUGAAUACCAUUUAUAAAAGUCAAUAAUUAUCACUAAUUUCACUUUAAACCAAUUCCUCAGAUGGAGUUUCCUGCUGAAGAUGUGUGGCUGUGCCCCUGACACAAUGCUGCUCACUGGAUUUUAGUGGUGUGUAUUCUUGAAGAAAGUUCAGUUGCCUUUGUUUGAAUUAUAUAUAACGCCAAUUACAAAUUACUGAUGUGUGUUAUGCACACAGAUAUUUCACGUGAUGUCUGACUUCACACAGUUUGGAUAAAAGCACCUUCUGUAUAAAUGAAAAGCAUUCAAAUGUAAAUGUCGCAGUGGUUUGAUGUGUAACUGCACUAAAUAUUUUUUAGAUUGUCAAAAAGGCAGAGAAGGUGCUGCUUGUGAUCGAUCCAAUGGGCAAUGAAAGUAAUUAUGACGAGGAAAUUGUGAAUCAAUUUACGUAAGUGUUUGGAAUAAAGUUUGAACUGGGCAAACACGUACGGGGCCAGCAGUGGAUACCAAGCUGUGGCCGGCACCCCAGCACCCCACAUUCCAAGAUGCCAGUGAUCACCAGAUUCCAAGCUGAACACCUUUACGAUUUUACUAAACACGUGUUUGUCGUUUGUUUUAUCUUUGAUAGAUUUUGUCUGAUGCCGUUUCACUGUCUGGGCCCUUUAUUACUAUUGUUUUUUAAACAAUAACUAGGGAUUUCUUGGAGAUAAAGAAGCAAGACAUUUCACAAUGGACAAUUCAGACCAAAAGUCAUUCCAGACAAGAAGAUGAUUUCAAUUGUGGAGUUCUUCUCUUGCUGGCGUAUCUAGAAGACACAGAUAUGUCACAAGUUAAAGUAACGAGCAGCCUGUGAAGAAUCACAAAAGCAGAUCCGCGAUCAUCUGCUUGCCGAUGAAACUCGCUAAGAGUUGGGAGCAGCAAACAAACUGGUUUUCUCUUUUCUCGUUUAUUUAAUAAAGAUUAUCAUUUAAC